rnacentral:rRNA from 1 species
GAUGAACGCUGGCGGCGUGCCUAAUACAUGCAAGUCGAGCGAACAGACGAGGAGCUUGCUCCUCUGACGUUAGCGGCGGACGGGUGAGUAACACGUGGAUAACCUACCUAUAAGACUGGGAUAACUUCGGGAAACCGGAGCUAAUACCGGAUAAUAUAUUGAACCGCAUGGUUCAAUAGUGAAAGACGGUUUUGCUGUCACUUAUAGAUGGAUCCGCGCCGCAUUAGCUAGUUGGUAAGGUAACGGCUUACCAAGGCUACGAUGCGUAGCCGACCUGAGAGGGUGAUCGGCCACACUGGAACUGAGCCACGGUCCAGACGCCUACGGGAGGCAGCAGUAGGGAAUCUUCCGCAAUGGGCGAAAGCCUGACGAAGCAACGCCGCGUGAGUGAUGAAGGUCUUCGGAUCGUAAAACUCUGUUAUUAGGGAAGAACAAAUGUGUAAGUAACUAUGCACGUCUUGACGGUACCUAAUCAGAAAGCCACGGCUAACUACGUG